UGAACCAGUGAGCGAGGAGGGUGUGUCUCUGCCGUUCGUGUAACCCUAGAUUUCCUUCCCCCUUGACCCUUUCCCUGAGCCUGGUUUAUUAACUGAGCACUGGAUUAUUACCAUCGCGCCCACCAUGAACUGGUGGGACGGAGCUCUGGGUGAGUGUGGUGACCUUGGGAGGUGGCGAGGUGAUGCUGUUAAGGUGGUGAGUGUGUGUGUGUGUGUGUGUGUGUGUGUGAGAUGGCAAGAAUUUCCAGUGUCUUGCCCUGAAUGUAAACAAGAACGUGAUAGAAAGAAGAGGAGUCAGAAAAAAGUAUAAUAAUAAUAGGAAGAAGAAGAAUAAAGGAGAAAAGAGGAAAUAGAAAGAAAAUGAACACACUCAAAGAAAUAAAGUAAAAGAAAAACGAAAGAUGAAAAAAAGAAAACAGGAAACAGGAAACUACUUCCCAUAUCUCUCUCUCUCUCUCUCUCUCUCUCUCUCUCUCUCUCUCUCUCUCUCUCUCUCUCUCUCUCUCUCUCUCUCUCUCUCUCUCUCUCUCUCUCUCUCUUAUUUAUUUAUUUAUUUUACCUUUUCUGCUUAUAUGUUAGUUUCCCUUGAUAUUUUUUUGUUUAUUUAAUUUACUACUACUACUACUACUACUACUACUACUACUACUACUACUACUACUACUACUACUACUACUACUACUACUACUACUACUACUACAAUUCUAUAUAGCUAAAAUAAAAGAAAAAAUAUAUAUAUAGAUUAAUCCUGACGCUUCCUUACACCAAUACAAGAGUUUUCCUCAUGUUUACCCUUCACCCGUUUUCGUUACCUUCAGUUACAUUGUUUUACCGGUGACUUCAAUAUUUUUACUUUCUCUCUCUCUCUCUCUCUCUCUCUCUCUCUCUCUCUCUCUCUCUCUCUCUCUCUCUCUCUCUCUCUCUCUCUCUCUCUCUCUCUCUCUCUGAAUUUAGUAUUUUCUCUCUGUUUUCUUUCUUUCUUUCCUUCCUUCCUUCCUUCCUUCCUUCCUUCUUUUAUCCUUUCUUCCUCCUUCCCAUCUUCGUGCCCCCUUUUUUUUUCUCCUUUUUUUUCAUUCCCUCGUUUGUUUGUUUGUAUGUUUAUUUGUUUAUAUGUUUGAUUCUUUAUUUAAUUACUUCAUCCUUUGACCGCAUCUGUUUAUACCGCGAGAGAGAGAGAGAGAGAGAGAGAGAGAGAGAGAGAGAGAGAGAGAGAGAGAGAGAGAGAGAGAGAGAGAGAGAGAGAGAGAGAGAGAGAGAGAGAGAGAGAAAAUGAACAGCAGGAUACAUGGAGGAUGACCUCACUCAACCACACACACACACACACACACACACACACACACACACACACACACACACACACACACACACACACACACACACACACACACACACACACACACACACACACACAC